rnacentral:rRNA from 1 species
CCUACGGGGGGCAGCAGUGGGGAAUAUUGCACAAUGGGGGAAACCCUGAUGCAGCAACGCCGCGUGAGUGAAGAAGUAUUUCGGUAUGUAAAGCUCUAUCAGCAGGGAAGAGAAUGACGGUACCUGACUAAGAAGCCCCGGCUAACGACGUGCCAGCAGCCGCGGUAAGACGUAGGGGGCAAGCGUUAUCCGGUUUUACUGGGUGUAAAGGGAGCGUAGAGGGCUGUACAAGUCUGAAGUGAAAGCCGGUGGCUCAACCGCGGAACUGCUUUGUAAACUGUAAAGCUGACGUACUGGAGAGGCAGGCGGACUUCCUGGUGUCGCGGUGAACUUC